rnacentral:rRNA from 1 species
UACGUAGGUGGCAAGCGUUGUCCGGAAUUACUGGGAGUAAAGGGCGUGUAGGCGGGACUGCAAGUCAGAUGUGGAAUUCCCAGGCUCAACUUGGGGGCUGCAUCUGAAACUGUGGUUCUUGAGUGCUGGAGAGGAAAGCGGAAUUCCUAGUGUAGCGGUGAAAUGCGUAGAUAUUAGGAGGAACACCAGUGGCGAAGGCGGCUUUCUGGACAGUAACUGACGCUGAGGCGCGAAAGCGUGGGGAGCAAACAGG